UCAUGACCGCCUCUGUGCCCGCGGAGGCUGUAGGGGAGAGCCUCCGCUGCUCGGCGCGGGGCUUCGUGUCCCGGUGACUGCGCGCGUCUCCAGCUCCUUUCAUCCUGAAGAAGCUGGACAGUAUAUGAACACAUAAGAAGACUCAGUAUAUGAAAACAUAAAAUGGACUGUAGCUGCUUUCCCCUGUUUGUUAAUUAAACAUUGUGCCAGAGGCAGACAUCCUAUACUAAAUGGUUCUAAAAUGUUUCACUUAAGUAUAUCUGACCUGUGAAUGAUAGCCUAGUUGGGAGUAUGGGGAAGAUACCUGUUGUCCCUGCAGGUGAAUUCUGGUCACAGAAUACUGAGAAUACUCCCUCGUAUCAUCAUGCAAUGACUUGUGAUGGAACAUUUCUUGUACUGUUUAAAAGAAAGUCCAUCCAUUUUGUAUGAAGUGUUAAGCGCUAACAAGUUGCUUUGUUAUGCAGCUACCUCUAAACUGCCACAUGCUAUGGCUAUCAAUCUUACUGGACCUGUCUGUAUGAAAAAUGAAAUGAGUCUUGAAUGAAUCCAGUUCACAAGCAGUUUGAUUUGAAAUAAAUGGAAGAGCAGUUGUAUCAUUUAA